CCUACGGGAGGCAGCAGUGAGGAAUAUUGGUCAAUGGACGAGAGUCUGAACCAGCCAAGUAGCGUGAAGGAUGACUGCCCUAUGGGUUGUAAACUUCUUUUAUAUGGGAAUAAAACGUUCCACGUGUGGGAUUUUGUAUGUACCAUAUGAAUAAGGAUCGGCUAACUCCGUGCCAGCAGCCGCGGUAAUACGGAGGAUCCGAGCGUUAUCCGGAUUUAUUGGGUUUAAAGGGGGCGUAGGUGGAUUGUUAAGUCAGUUGUGAAAGUUUGCGGCUCAACCGUAAAAUUGCAGUUGAAACUGGCAGUCUUGAGUACAGUAGAGGUGGGCGGAAGUCGUGGUGUAGCGGUGAAAUGCUUAGAUAUCACGAAGAACUCCGAUUGCGAAGGCAGUUCACUGGACUGCAACUGACACUGAGGCUCGAAAGUGUGGGUAUCAAACAGGAUUAGAUACCCUUGUAGUC
rnacentral:rRNA from 1 species